rnacentral:rRNA from 1 species
GACGAACGCUGGCGGCGUGCCUAAUACAUGCAAGUAGAACGCUGAAGGAGGAGCUUGCUUCUCUGGAUGAGUUGCGAACGGGUGAGUAACGCGUAGGUAACCUGCCUGGUAGCGGGGGAUAACUAUUGGAAACGAUAGCUAAUACCGCAUAAGAGUAGAUGUUGCAUGACAUUUGCUUAAAAGGUGCAAUUGCAUCACUACCAGAUGGACCUGCGUUGUAUUAGCUAGUUGGUGGGGUAACGGCUCACCAAGGCGACGAUACAUAGCCGACCUGGGAGGGGGAUCGGCCCACCUUGGACUGGGACACGGCCCAGACUCCUACGGGAGGCAGCAGUAGGGAAUCUUCGGCAAUGGACGGAAGUCUGACCGAGCAACGCCGCGUGAGUGAAGAAGGUUUUCGGAUCGUAAAGCUCUGUUGUAAGAGAAGAACGAGUGUGAGAGUGGAAAGUUCACACUGUGACGGUAUCUUACCAGAAAGGGACGGCUAACUACGUG